GGGAGGGUAGCUUAGCCUGGGGGAGCAGUCGACUGAUAAUCGACCGGUCGGAGGUUCAAAUCCUCCCCUUCCCA
rnacentral:tRNA from 1 species